UGGAUCUUAAAUGUCCUCAAUGUCACAUG
rnacentral:piRNA from 1 species